AACGAACGCUGGCGGCAGGCUUAACACAUGCAAGUCGAACGCCCCGCAAGGGGAGUGGCAGACGGGUGAGUAACGCGUGGGAACAUACCCUUUUCUACGGAAUAGCUCUGGGAAACUGGAAUUAAUACCGUAUACGCCCUACGGGGGAAAGAUUUAUCGGGGAAGGAUUGGCCCGCGUUGGAUUAGCUAGUUGGUGGGGUAAAGGCCUACCAAGGCGACGAUCCAUAGCUGGUCUGAGAGGAUGAUCAGCCACAUUGGGACUGAGACACGGCCCAAACUCCCACGGGAGGCAGCAGUGGGGAAUAUUGGACAAUGGGCGCAAGCCUGAUCCAGCCAUGCCGCGUGAGUGAUGAAGGCCUUAGGGUUGUAAAGCUCUUUCACCGAUGAAGAUAAUGACGGUAGUCGGAGAAGAAGCCCCGGCUAACUUCGUG
rnacentral:rRNA from 1 species